ACUGUAAUUUAUUAAACUCACUGAAGCAACAAGGAAAUUGCAAAAGGGGAGAAGGAAAAGCUUUAAAGAUAACAGGAGGACUCCAGUUAUGCAAAAAACGAGACAAGACAAGACACACACACACACCACCACCACCAAGUUUGAUUUGCACCCUCUUCGGAGCCUUCAAGGUAAGAUGUCAUUCCAAAGACUGACAUGAGAACCAGAGGUAUCUACAGCACCUUUCUUUCUAUUAUUUUAACAUGGAAACCAAUCCAUAAUAAAGGAGUCAUCAUGUAGUUCAUUUCUUGAAUUUCUGUCAGUACUUCCAUGAGAGCAACUUCUCGAAGCAGCAACCCAAAGUUAAAUUGUGUCAGCAUUUCCAUUUUUGAGGCAUCACCAUAUGAGCUGCUAUUUUUUGAGCUGCUCCCAGCAAGACAACAAUAAUCAGAAUGGAGAAGAUGCAGCAAACAGAGCACAUUCCAUCCGCCUCAGGCAAACCUGAAUGAAGCCAAUGAUUUUAUUCAUAGACCCUGGAAUGGGGAGUGCCUGGGGCUGGGGCUUGAGCUCCUUGUCUGAAUGUUUAGGCAUCAAGGAUCAGGACUACUGUACAAAGGCUGUAGUUGGACCCCUGAGGAACUACCAGUCAGAAAUGCCCAGAUUUAUAACAUUUCUGUGUGUUCACUUUUGGGUUUUUUACAUAUUUUUCCGCUUGCCCAGAUACACACACACACACACACACGCACACGCACGUACACACACACGCACGCACGCACACACAUUUAAAAAUUUUUAUACGUUUCAUUCAUUACUGGAGAGGAGGAGAGCAGCAGAGGACUUUAAUACCGGCUCCACUGCCCCCAGGACACUGGCUGCGCAGGCCCAGAGUAGUAUUAUUAUUCAGAUAUAUAAUUGAUAUUUAUUAACUGAUUAUUGUUUUUGUUGCCGGGGAGAAUUGGGGAUUGUUGUUUAGAUUAUUAUGUUAUGUUACAUUAUGCUUUGAUUAUUAUUAUGUACUGUAUUUUUAUUAUUAUUAUGUAAUUUAUGUUGUGCUGUAACAGGCUGUACGUGUGUAGUUUUGUAUUUUUCCUGUUGCCUUCAUUUGUAAUUUGCCUUACUUGUAAUCUGCCUUGAUUCCGCAAGGAAAAGGCAGAAUAUAAAUAAAUCGUAUUAUUAUUUUGUUGUUGUCUUCACAGCAAUCACAUUGUUAACUGCUCUAGUUGGUAGUGAUAUUCUUCUUCCUCUUUGUAUUCUGUGUUGUAUUACUGUUUUUUAUAUAUAAAAAGUCCAUGUCAAUAUGAAAAAUUAAUAAUGACAUACCUGCCACUUUUGAGCCACUCUACCUUAAAACAUGGCCUAGGUCCAGUCUUCUUGAAGGAACGCCUCCUCCUAUACAAUCCUUCCCGCACACUCCGAUCCUCCGGGAAAAACCUCUUACAAUCUAGAAAGACCAGACUGGCGGUGACCUCCUAGAGGUCCUUUUCU